AUCCAGCUGACGAAUCCCAAAUAGGACGAAAUGCUGGAU
rnacentral:hammerhead_ribozyme from 1 species